rnacentral:rRNA from 1 species
UUUUGAUCCGGGUUCAGAUUGAACGCUGGCGGCAUGCCUAACACAUGCAAGUCGAACGGCAGCACGGGUGCUUGCACCUGGUGGCGAGUGGCGAACGGGGUGAGUAAUACAUCGGAACAUGUCCUGUAGUGGGGGAUAGCCCGGCGUAAAGCCGGAAUUAAUACCGCAUACGAUCUACGGAUGAAAGCGGGGGACCUUCGGGCCUCGCGCUAUAGGGUUGGCCGAUGGCUGAUUAGCUAGUUGGUGGGGUAAAGGCCUACCAGAGGCGACGAUCAGUAGCUGGUCUGAGAGGACGACCAGCCACACUGGGACUGAGACACGGCCCAGACUCCUACGGGAGGCAGCAGUGGGGAAUUUUGGACAAUGGGCGAAAGCCUGAUCCAGCAAUGCCGCGUGUGUGAAGAAGGCCUUCGGGGUUGUAAAGCACUUUUGUCCGGAAAAGAAAUCCCUUGGCUUCUUAAACAGUUGGGGGAUGACGGUACCGGGAAAGAAUAAGCGCCGGGUAACUAACUUGGCCCAGCAGGCCCGCGGGUAAUUACUUAGGGGUGGGAAGCGUUUAUCGGAAUUACUGGGGGUAAAACGGGCGCCAGUGGGUUUGUUAAAACCCGAUGUGAAAAUUCCCCCGGGGGCUCACCCUGGGGAAACUUGCUUUUGGGGGACGGGCCAGGUUAGAAGUUUGGGGAAAAGGGGGGGUAAAAAAUUUCCCCGGGUAAACAAUGAAAA